GGCGGGGCUAGAAGCUGUGAAUCGACCCUCUGCAACCACAAAUAGGUGAGUAUACACACACUCCAGAUUCCAGGCAACCAUGCCUCUUUCCUUUUUAAUGACCUCCUCUUUCACAAGAUGUUUAUAUUUAUGUUUAUCACCCGGUAGGUUACAAGACAAAUGGCGCAAGUUGACAUGUGGUGAGAAACGAUACAAUGGCAAACAUUUCGCUCAUGGAGAGGCUUCUUCAGUCAUUUCAGUGGGAUGUACAUCGAGCAAAUUUAUAGAAGUGUAGUCAGGGAGACCGGCAAGGUUCCCCAAGUGACGGUCUACACCACUCGGCCACAAGUGACGCUCUCCACCACUCGGCCACAAAUGCCUCAAGUGACGCUCUCCACCACUCGGCCACAAAUGCCUCAAGACAUUUAUGACCAGAGUGGUGACUUAAAAAUAUAUUAUACAUAGAAAAAAAUAAAAAUAAUAAAAAUUAAGCAAAUUUUAAAUAAAAGAAAAGGAAAUACCUAAAGAAAGUAAUUCAAAAUAUUACUUUUAAAUGUAAUAUCCCAACAUAUUACCGCUAUUGAAAUUUUUGAGGCUUAAUUAAAAUGCAAAUUUUUA